rnacentral:rRNA from 1 species
AUUGAACGCUGGCGGCAUGCCUUACACAUGCAAGUCGAACGGUAACGGGCCUUCGGGUGCCGACGAGUGGCGAACGGGUGAGUAAUGUAUCGGAACGUACCUUUCAGUGGGGGAUAACAUAGCGAAAGUUACGCUAAUACCGCAUAUUCUGUGAGCAGGAAAGCAGGGGAUCGCAAGACCUUGCGCUGAUUGAGCGGCCGAUAUCAGAUUAGCUAGUUGGUGAGGUAAAGGCUCACCAAGGCGACGAUCUGUAGCGGGUCUGAGAGGAUGAUCCGCCACACUGGAACUGAGACACGGUCCAGACUCGUCUGU